UACGUAGGGGGCUAGCGUUGUUCGGAAUUACUGGGCGUAAAGCGCUCGUAGGCGGCUUUGUAAGUUAGAGGUGAAAGCCCGGAGCUUAACUCCGGAACUGCCUUUAAGACUGCAUCGCUAGAAUCGUGGAGAGGUGAGUGGAAUUCCGAGUGUAGAGGUGAAAUUCGUAGAUAUUCGGAAGAACACCAGUGGCGAAGGCGACUCACUGGACACGUAUUGACGCUGAGGCGCGAAAGCGUGGGGAGCAAACAGG
rnacentral:rRNA from 1 species